AUGCUGGGGGCAGAAGGAGAAGACGUCUCCUUGGAAUGUUCCUUCAGCAUUGACAAAGGGAGAACACUAUCUCAGUAUUACUUCUUCUGGUACCGCCAGUAUCCUGGGUCAGCUCCUCAAUAUAUACUGAGCAGAAACUCUGGAUCCUACAAACACGAAGCAGAAUUUGCUACAGUAUCAGAUUACAGUUUUCAGGAUGGAAUUACAUCAGCAGCUAAAGCAGUGUAUGCUUUAGAGGGUAGCAGUGUUACACUGUCAUGCAGCUAUACUGGUACUGCAGACAGUCUACAGUGGUAUCGCCAAUACCCCAGAUCAAAACCAGAAUUCCUCAUACUCACCUACAGAAGCCGAGCUGGUGAUGUUACAGAAGGGCGAUUUACCAUUAAACAUAAUGAAACAAACAGACGUGUGGAUCUGCAGCUGAGCUCUGCUGAAGUGUCAGACUCUGCACUGUAUUACUGCGCUAUGAAGCCCACAGUGACAGGAAACCCACACACUCUGUACAAAAACCUGACAGAACCUAAGCCAAGAUUUUAA